rnacentral:rRNA from 1 species
UACGUAGGGGGCAAGCGUUGUCCGGAAUUAUUGGGCGUAAAGAGCGCGUAGGCGGUCCGGUAAGUCGGCUGUGAAAGUCAAGGGCUCAACCCUUGAAAGCCGGCCGAUACUGUCGGACUAGAGUCCGGAAGAGGCGAGUGGAAUUCCCGGUGUAGCGGUGAAAUGCGCAGAUAUCGGGAGGAACACCAAUUGCGAAGGCAGCUCGCUGGGACGUUACUGACGCUGAGACGCGAAAGCGUGGGGAGCAAACAGG